rnacentral:rRNA from 1 species
UACGAAGGUCCCGAGCGUUAUCCGGAUUUAUUGGGUUUAAAGGGUGCGUAGGCGGGUUAUUAAGUCAGUGGUGAAAGCCUUCAGCUCAACUGAAGAACUGCCAUUGAUACUGAUGAUCUUGAGUACGAUUGAGGUAGGCGGAAUGUGUCAUGUAGCGGUGAAAUGCUUAGAUAAUGACACAGAACCACCGAUUGCGAAGGCAGCUUACUAAGUCGUAAACUGACGCUGGAUGCACGAAAGCGUGGGGAGCAAACAGG